GCCUCCGUGGUGUAAUAGGAAACAUAAUUGAUGCGUAUUCGAGAGGUUCUGGGUUCGAGUCCCUGCGAGAGCA
rnacentral:tRNA from 1 species